UCCUGAGUUCGGGCAAUUCUUGUGCCUCAGA
rnacentral:piRNA from 1 species